ACAAAAAAACAAAGUUUUCAAAUAUUAAGAGGGAACAUUAUUUGUAAUCUGAAAGCUUAAUCUUUGCUUUAGUUAUAUAUACAAGGGUGGUCCUGAGCACAGCGAAUUAAAACAUCGGUUUAGGACCUCAAUUUUUCUAUAUAUUUAUAAAUUACAUAAAAUAAUAAACAAAAGUGUUUAAUUGAUUUGAUAUAAUGAUUUUAUAUUCGUAUAGAAAGAAUUAUAUUUGUAUAUAAAGUAUCAUAAUAGCUAUUAAUGUCUAAUAAUUUAAUGCAUGUUUUAUAAAUCAUUUAUAAAAUUAUAAAUACAUUUAUAAAAAUCAAACGUUUUAAAUUAUUAUAAGAGGUUCUAAGUCAUUUAUAGAAGCUUAUACAUUAAUUUAUAAAAUGUAUUUUGAAAAUUUAUCCUCCUAUUACAAUAUUUUGAAUUUUUUUCAUUUUAGUAUAGAAACCCCUAAACUAAAGAUUUACUGGUAGUAAUAGUAAUUAUGACCUAUCAGAGUUUAAUUCAUUAAAUAAAGUUAGUUUAGGGGUUUUUUCGUUAAAUACUUAGUUUGAUGAUUUUUACCCAAAAAAGACUUAGUUUGAGGGUUUUAACGUUAAAAUUCCUUAUUAUUUCCUUAUUAUCUAUUAUUUAAAUCCUUAUAGUGGGAUUUGUUUUAUCAAAAACCAGUUGCAGUCAACUGACGAGAUAUCUUCUUUCCUAAUAUCAUGCAUUAAAUAUUUAAAUAUAUAUAGCAAAAUUUGAGUUACCAAAAUUAUGUAUAUAUUAUAACUAGAAUAUUUUUAAAAAAUUAUUAGAAGAUAUUCUAUCUCAUAGCUGAAUUAAAAUUUAUUAGAGGAUAUUUUAUCUCAUAGCUUCUCUUAAAAACUAGGUCAUUUAGAAACUUAAACUAAUUUGCUAAAUAAAUAUCACGCCACCCUAUUAGUUUCACGCAUCUAUUUUUUAAGUUUUCAUAUGUUUUUGAUCGUUAUAAUUUAAAUUCUAUUUUUGUGAUCUUGCGCAGGUGUAUAAUAAUCAAUAAGUAACUUAUAGACAUGAACACCAUUAUUGUUAAUUUUAUGGGAGAUUCUUCUUCUCCGUUUAUUUUUGUUCUCUUCAUCUCCAUGUUGUAUCUCUAUCCAUAUUUUUGCAUCAUUAGUGAUUCAACUAACAAAAAGAGACGAUUCUGUUUAUCUAAGAACUGAUCAUCCCUUUCGAAAAAGGUAAUUCUUUUUUUUAUAAAGUUAAAUUACUUAUCAAGAAUAUAAUAUAAGAUAUGUAUGCUAAUCAAGUGCAAUUUAUUUAUUGUGUGUGAUCUUCUUCGGUACGUCUGAGAGUCAAAGGUAAUCUCAAAGCUUUUUAAAAACUUUAAAACUCAUUGACGUUGUCCUAUCAAUUAUAUAAUUUGUUAUCUUUUGAGGAUUGUUUACAUCUUUAAAUAUUUUUGUUAGAAUUACCUCUUUUUUUACUGAAGGGUUAGAGAAAGAAACCAUAAAUCAUCUAUGUUGUUACAAUGAAACCAAUGAUAAUAAAUCUCAGGUAAUUCAAAUCUCUUUUUUAUAUUUCAUGGCUGAUUUUUUUAUUGGGGUUAUGCGUGAAAUAUUUGUUUUUUCUCAAUUAUAUUUUUCUGAUAUUUUAUGAUUAGUGUUAAGUGUGAUCGUUUUAAAAACGUUCUAAUGUAUUCUUUGUUCAUAUGAACAUAGUAUAAAUAUCAAUAUGUAAUAUCGAAUAUUUCAUAUUAACCAUAUACAUGUAACAUAAGUAUUAUAUAGUUGUAAAUAUAAUAUCAAUUUAAUUAAUAUUAAUAUUAAUGCCCGCACAUACGUGAGGGCGGUCCACCUAGUAGACUAUAAAGUACAAUACUUUGGUCCUUUUUAUUGCAGGAAGAGUUAUAUCUAGAACGCUCUAACCGGGUGGGGGUUUUGUCUUCUUAACCGGUCGGGUCGGGUCCGGAUCCUCUUUAUCCACUUUGUGAAAUUUCUAGAUUAAUCAAAAUCAUUUUUACAUAUUUUCAUUUUUAAAGUUUUAGGAGUAUUCACGUAUUUAAAUAGUAUAAACAUGAGACUAUAUUAGGCCAAAGUAUGAUUUAAUUAACCACAAAUUAUAGUACACUAGAAAAAAAAAGUUUUCAAAUAUCGACAAAAAAACAAAGUUUUCAAAUAUUAAGAGGGAACAUUAUUUGUAAUCUGAAAGCUUAAUCUUUGCUUUAGUUAUAUAUACAAGGGUGGUUCUGAGCACAGCGAAUUAAAACAUCGGUUCAGUACCCCAAAUUUUUUCAAAACAAUUACAAGAAAAAAACUCCUAAAUUUGUAAAAAGAAAUUUUUUUAGAAAAUCCUCACUAAAUUUUUUUAGGUCUCCAACAUCUCAGGGACGCCCCUGGUUAUAUACUCUAUUUUGAACUCUGUUUGAUUUUAAUUAUAUGAAUGUAAGCUGAGACUGAAAAAGCUAAUCUUUGUUAAAUAGAAGAAUGUUCGCCUAAGCUUGUUAAAGAUCAUCAAUACUAUUUCUCUAAUGUGAAGAUCUCAGAAAUGUGCUUAGUGUAUAACAGUAUUAGUAUAAGCCAAAACCAAAAAAAAAAUGUGUACUAUAAUGUAGUUAGUGUACCGACCAGCGAAAAAGGUGCUUAGUGUUAGAAAAUGAUACCUACAAUAAUUCAGCCAUUUUUAGUUUCAGUAAUCCGCAGAAAAUAUCAAUGUAUUUUUUUUUUUAACGACAUACCAAUGUAUUUAGAGAUGAACAUUAUUGAUUAUAAUAAAAAUAAUAAAGGAACCGUUGUUUUUCUUUUUGAAAUUACGUACCAUCUUGCAGUCACGUGUGUUUUGUAGCUGAUUACACUUUCCAAGUUACUUUUUGAUGGGGAAAAUCAAAUCCACUAAAAGUGUUUAACAUGAAUUUUUUAACAAAAAAAAUUAGAUAUAUUUAAGUAAAAUAAUAAAAUAAUAUUAUGAUUAUUUUAAAAUCAGAAAAACCUACAUUAAAAUCUCAUAUGAAACUGACACUAAUAUUUUCCAGAUUAAAUAUUUUAUCGUGAAGUUUUCAUGAUUUAGAAACAUACGCCAUAAUAAUUUAGGGAAAAAUCGCAUUUAAACCCUGAAGUUGACACAUUCUAGCAGUUUAAAUAUUCAACCUUUUUCACUAACACUUUAAUACCUCAAACUAUAACUUUUGUCGAAACAAACUCCAAAGUCGCAUCCCACGUUUUUCUCGUAACCCUAUUUGACGGUAUUGUUCACGACGUUUACUGGGCAAAAUGCAUGUUGUUUUUUGAUUAAAAACGACACUGUUGAGAACAUAAAAUUUGUUUCGAAAUCGAUUUAGGGAUUAGGGUCCUAACAGUAACAAGACCGAGAAAGUUUAUAUAGAUUCUUCACUUCUUCUACCUCGUAUUUGUCUCUUGAUUCUUCAUUUCUUCUACCUUGUUCUUUGUCUCUUAGAAAUAGCUAAAGACUCAUUUUUUUAUAACAGGGAUUCGCAUGAAAUGGAAUUGAAGAUUCAUUUUGGUGGUGAAAUGAAGAAGAUUGGUGAUGGUGAAGAUUAUGAGUAUUUGGGUGAAUUAGGGAGCAAAAAUGUGGAAUGGAAAAUCGAUGACAUAGUGUGGGAUAUGUUCGUUGAUUUUUGCAAAGAAGAAGCCCUCAUUAGAGCACCACUUGGCUUGAUUUGGUAAAAAUCAGAGAAAGAGGAGAUGAAGGAACUGUGGUAUGUAUAUGAUAGAUACGAUGGGGAGAUGUGUGAGCUACGGUCUACAAACAAGUCAGGGAUAGAUGUUGUGGAAGUGUUUGUUGAACAUGAAUGCUCAGAACACAUACCUGGUGUGAUUCAGCUUGCGGACACCAACCGAGAUGAUGCAGAAUGUGUUGAUGAAGAGGAAGAACACAGUGAGAUGUCCAAAAUAGAACAAAUAUAAAAUCGUUGUAGAAUUUAUAUCAACUGGAGAUUUUGCAUAUUCCGUGACAUUUGAUUAAUCGUUGUAGAAUUUAUUUUCUUGUGGACAAAAGCGAACCAUUCUAACUUAUUUUAAGCUUUUUUUAUUUUUGAUUUUUUUUUUGUAUUUGAAAUUGUAUAUAGUUCAGUAGUGUGUAUUUCUACUAAAUAUGAAAAUUAUAUAAAAUAUGCCUUAAUUGUAUUUUUAAAUUCGACCCCUUUUCGUUAUGAAAGUUUUAUGAAAUGUUAAUAUUCUUAAUUUAUUUUAUUAAUUGUUUGAUAUAGAUUUUGAUGAAAUUUUAAUUAUAAAAAUUAUUUCAUGUCAAUUUGUUACUCGUUUUCAAUUUAUUACUCUAAUGUUAUAUAUAUAUAUUAUUUAAUUAAAUAUGAAGCUUAUUUAAUAAAUGUGAAAUUUUGUAUUUAUGAAAGUAUAAAUAAAAUAAUUUAUUAAUUUAAUAUUAAUUGAAAUUAUUUUCUGUAUGUUAAUUAUUGACUUGUUUGGAAACAUAUCUAAUGUUUUUCUAUAAUUAACUUAAAGAAGUUAUAUUGUUUUCAUUAAUUAUUAAUGAUGUUUUAUAUAACAUAAUAUUUCGCUAAAGGUUAGGACCAUUAAAAGUUUCUGUUUUAAUAAACUAGGUUAUAUUAUUUAGCAUAUGACUAAAUGUUAGAUCUAUUAAAAUAUUUAUAUUUUAAUAAGAGAGAUUUAUCAAAUAGUUUGAAAAAAUUAAUGAAAAUUUAUUCAAAAGUGUAAUUCAAUGUUUUAUAUUAUCUAGACUUAAAUUUUGUUAUUGAGUUGUUUAAAAACAUAUAUAGAACUUUAAUGUUGUUUCUAUAAUUAUCUUAGGGGUUAUCUAGUAUUUUCAUAAGUUAUUAUUUAUUAGUGACAUUAAUUUUAUAUAGUAUAACAUACUACUAAAUGCUAGAUCCAUUAGAAAACAAAUUGUUUUUAUAAUAAAGAUGUUUCUGUUUUAAUAUAAAAAAGGUUAUAUAAAAUAGCAUAUGACUAAAUGUUAGAUCCAUUAAUAUGUUUAUGUUUUAAUAAGAGAGAUUUAUCAAAUAAUCUGAAAGAAAAUUAAUAUUAAUUUAUUAAAAAGUGGGAUUCAAUGUUUCAUAUUAUCUAGACUCAAAUUUAGUUAUUGUGUUUUUGGAAACAUAUCUAGUAUUAUAAUUAUCUUAGUGAAAUUUUAGUAUUUUUUAUUAAUUAUUAGUUAUAUUUUGUAUAAUAUAACAUAUGACAAAAUGUUAGAUCCACUUAAGAAAUCAUGUUAUAAUAAUAAAGACUAUGGCUCUAAAUGGUGACCAAAAGAAUGAGUGGAAAUAAAUAAUUCUUCUUCAUUCCUCAAAUUUGAUACUAUUUAUAAGGAAUAUUUUUUUUCCAAAUGUUCCUUCUCAUUCCUUUUAAUUUAAGGAAUCAAAGCAAAAAACUAGUCGUUAUCAAAUCAGGCAAAGAACAAUAAGGACUAAAUAUUUCUAUUAUUUUAUUCUUCUUGAUUCUAUUCCUUUUUGUUUCUAUUAUUUCUUUUGUUGUCAUCAGUUAGAGCCUAUAUAUAACAUAUGACUAAGUGUUAGGUCCAUUAUAAAGAUAAAUUUGCUUCUUCUUCUUCUUUCUGAGAAAAAUCUGUGUAUUCUAAAAACAAUGGAGAUGAAGAAAAUGGUUAUAUUUAUGGUGAUGAUGUUGACAAUCGGAAAUCUUACAGCUGAAUCUGAAGUUUUAGUUGGACGUUGGGGAGAUUGUAUCAAGACGUGUUAUAACAUAUGUAUCACUGGUCCAAUACAUGAUAGAAUCUCAUGUUUGCCUAAAUGUGCUCUGGAAUGUAAUCCGCAUAAAGAGAUCGAUGUGAAAAAGGCAAAAGGCUAUGUGAAUUAAUAUUUGGAUAUGUGUGAUAAAAAAUCGUGAAGGCAAUAUAAAUUCUCUAUAAAUUAUCAUAUGUUUGCUGUACUUGACGAUUUAAUAAAGAUAUGUAUUGUUCCGUUAUUUCAAUUUUAUAAAUCAAUCCAAAUAACAUUUGUUGAUUGAUGAAUUUAUCCAGUGAUCGAGAAAAUGUUAGUCGAUAAGUGUACGGUAACUCAACGUAUGACGUCUAAAAUAAUUAAUCGGAUGUCUAAAUUAUUAGUUAAUACAUCUAGAAGUUUACCAAUUAAAACAAUAUAAUUAAACAACCCGUCUAGAUGCUUGCCAAUUAAAAAAAAAAAUAUAUAUAUAUAUAUAUAAUAUUAAAUGUCAUGAUUAGUAAUAAUAACUAGAUCUUGACCCGCGCGCCAGCGCGGGUUUGAAUUUACGGUUUUUGAUUAUUUAAUUUAACUAAAUAAUGUAUUUGUAAUAUUUAAUAUAUUAUAUUCACUAAGUAAAUUACUUUUUUGUGGGUGUUAAACCAUUGAUUUAUGACGAAUAUUCGAUAUCAUAUAAACAAAUUGAAUAUAUACACGUAAUUAGAGAAUUGUAUACAAUAUAUAAAAAUAAUGGUUAUGAAUGUAAAAUAUGAAGAAAUUAUAUAAUGGCUCCGUAUGGCAUAUAAGAUUGUAAAUUAUUAAUACAUAUUUAAAGAAAAUACAAUGAUUUUUUAAACUUAUAUGAAUAAUUUAACAUAUAAAAACAGUUGAUUUAUGUAAAUAAUUUUAGAUGUUUUAUUAAUAAUAAAUUUUUUUUUUGUUUUGAGAUAAAGAUAAAAAUUAAAUGUCCAUAACCAAUUAUGUUAAAAGGGGCCUUAUUUAAAAAACCCAUGUGCUGUAAAAAAAAAAGAAGCCGAUUUGGUAACCGUUUUUUUUCCGGGAAAGAUAACCAAAAAAAAAUUGUCUUUAUGUUUAUUUUGUUUAAGUUCUGUCGUCAAAAAUUAAAAAAUCUCUUAUCUUCUUCGAUGUUCAAUCUGAGGCUUGUCUUCGAUGUUCAAUCUGAAGACAUUUUUCUGCCGUCAAAAUAGGUAGUGGAAGAUCGAACUUUUGAUUUGGCCGAUCUAUAAUCAUAUAUAAAAGAUAGGAUCAAGGUGAUCAGGGUUCAAAUUAGUUACAUGGAUGUUGACUUGAAGUUUUCGGAUCUCUUUGACAAACUGAUAUGAAGGUAAUUAGACAAUUAAAAGAAUUGAUCUCCUUGUCAGAUUGGAGUGCAAAAAAUAAACGUCAAUAAUACUUAUGAUUCUGCAAAGGUUAUUGAACACUUAUGCAAGGUUAGGUAUAUAUAAUGUAAAUGUGAAGCCCUAAUCAAUGGAAUAUACUUUAAGUGGGGCGGAAGACAUAAUCUUGUGAUUUUAUGGAAGAAUAUAAUUUGUUUCCAAAAUUUCUCCAUAUCGUUCGCAAAUAAUGGGAAACCAGUGAGAUCGUUAUAUCUUUAGAUUUUUUAUAAAUCUAGAAUUGAUUGUUUCUUCCUCUGCAAGAAAAUGAACUGGUUGUAAUCAAAAAGAUAUGAUAUUGAAGAGGAGAUAUUCGAUUAUAGGUUUGUAUUUAAUGUGAUGUCCUCCUACGUUUUCGGUUAAAUGUUGUAAAAUUUCAAAUUCUUAGUUUACUUUUA